GUCGAGCGGCAGCGCGGGGGCACCCUGGCGGCGAGCGGCGAACGGGUGAGUAAUGCAUCGGAACGUGUCCCGUAGUGGGGGAUAACCCGGCGAAAGCCGGACUAAUACCGCAUAUGCUCUACGGAGGAAAGCGGGGGAUUCGCAAGAACCUCGCGCUAUGGGAGCGGCCGAUGUCCGAUUAGCUUGUUGGUGAGGUAAUGGCUUACCAAGGCGACGAUCGGUAGCUGGUCUGAGAGGAUGAUCAGCCACACUGGGACUGAGACACGGCCCAGACUCCUACGGGAGGCAGCAGUGGGGAAUUUUGGACAAUGGGGGCAACCCUGAUCCAGCCAUGCCGCGUGCGGGAAGAAGGCCUUCGGGUUGUAAACCGCUUUUGUCCGGAAAGAAAAGGCGCCUCCUAAUACGGGGCGUCCUUGACGGUACCGGAAGAAUAAGCACCGGCUAACUACGUGCCAGCAGCCGCGGUAAUACGUAGGUGCGAGCGUUAAUCGGAAUUACUGGGCGUAAGCGUGCGUAGCGGUCCGCAAGUCUGAUGUGAAAGCCCCGGGCUCAACCUGGGAACUGCAUUGGAAACUAACG
rnacentral:rRNA from 1 species